UUACAAUAAUUUUUCCAGAUCCCACGUUUUGUAAAUGAUAUUCUAGUUUUUGUAGAUGGUCUAGUUACUCACUUGUCUUUAUUCUUCAAAACAAUUAUUAUAAUUGCAGUCACAUUAUAGACCAUUACUUGCACGCCAACAUAUUUUCCAGGAAUAUUGCAUUAUAGUAGUAGUUUUCUUCAAGAAACCAUCAGUGGGUACACAAAUGAUGCCAAAACAUCAGCUAGACUUCAAACAAUGCUCCAAAUGUUAAUGGAG
rnacentral:misc_RNA from 1 species